GGACAUGUAGCCUAGCUAGGAGUCGGGUGCUUGCCCUCUAAGCAAGAGUACGCAGGUUCAAAUCCUGCCAUGUCCACCA
rnacentral:tRNA from 1 species